rnacentral:rRNA from 1 species
AUUUAAUUUCUAAUUUAGGUGUAAAAUAUAUAGAACAUAUACUGUGAGGGGGGUAGAAAGGAUAAAUAUUAAGUAAAUAAAAAUUAUAAUUGAUGUACCUUUUGUAUCAGGGUUAAUUUAACGUAAAAUUAAAUUAAUUAUUUCUCGAAGAAGAAAGAUUUAAAUUUAUAGAUUAUUAAUGUUUCAUGAUUAAAUUAUAUAUAAAUUUAGGUUUGAAAUAAAAUUCAAUUUUUUUUAUCUAGUUAUUUUAUUUAUUGAUUUAAUCAAUUUAUUUAAAGUAUUUUACUUAUUUUAAUAAAAUAUUUCUAUGGGGAUAAGCUUAUGGAGGGUAAGUUUAGUUACAGGAAUAUUUUAAUACAUAAGUUUAGAAUUGACUAGUUUUUAAUAUUUAAAAAUUAAUUAAAAUAUGUUAAAAUUUUAAAUAACUUUAAAGAGGGGUAAAGUUGUUUAAUUGAUUGAUAUUUUGAAAUUAAAAAUGAUUAAAUUAGUAGAAAUUAAUAAAUAAUGGUUAAGAACUCGGCAAAUUUAAUCUUUGACUGUUUAUCAAAAACAUCUCUGAGGGGAAGAUGUUUUUGGUAUAACCUGCUCAAUGUUUUAAAUUAAUAGCUGCAGUAUUUUGACUGUACAAAGGUAGCAUAAUCAUUAGUCUUUUAAUUGAAGGCUUGUAUGAAAGGUUGAACAGAGGACAAGCUUUUUUACUGUUAUGAGGGUUGAAUUUUGUUAUUGUGUAAAAAAACAUAAAUAAUUAAAGGGGACGAGAAGACCCUAUAGAAUUUUAAAAUAAUUUUGAUGCAUAUUUUUUGGUUGGGGUGACUAGAAAUUAACUUUUCUGAGUUUAUUCAUUAUUAUAUGACAAGAAGAUCCUAUAUUAUAGAUAAGAAGAUAAAAUUACCUUAGGGAUAACAGCAUAAUUUUUCUUUUAAGUUCAUAUUUAUAGAAAAGAUUAUGACCUCGAUGUUGAAUUAAGGACAUAUUAAGGUGGAGAGAUUUUAAUAUUAAGUCUGUUCGACUUUUAUACCUUACAUGAUUUGAGUUCAGACCGGCGUGAGCCAGGUUGGCUUCUAUCUUUUUAUUACUUAUAAAAUUUAGUACGAAAGGAUUAGUUGUUUAAAAUUGUUUUUUUAUUAUGAAUACUUUUAAAUUCUGU